UCCACGUACUUGGCAGAUCCAGUCUAUCUCAGGCUCCCAACCAUCAGCCAUUGCUGUACUAGUCAAUACAUGAAACUCCUUGGGGCCGAACUCACUUCCUGCCCACUUAUCCAAUAGAGCGUCCCACUCUUUCUUGAGGUAUAUCUACAGAUCAAAUAAGUAAUUAAUAAUUUAUAUCAGCACCAAUGAAAACAUAUAAAUAAUGAAAGUUUACUUACAAACCAAUCCGUGUCUACUAUGACUGUGUUAUUCAUAUCUACGUCAUCCAGUAAAUCCAGGGAACCUCGAAGUCUAUUUCUCAAGGUCAAGAAAUACAAGUCAAUAUCCUGCAACAAAGUUAAAAUCAAUAAGUUAGUAGACAAUAAUUUAACAAUGUUAAAAUCAAUAGAUUAUUUACCCCAGUUGUGAAUUCCUGGCUGACAUUAUCCACCCGCGCGAAGUCGUCGUACUCCCGCAAACCACCACUUGCCUUGACAUAAAUCUCACCA
rnacentral:lncRNA from 1 species